rnacentral:rRNA from 1 species
AAGACUCUGCUUGACUAGCUGAGAGGAGGUGCAUGGCCGUCGUCAGUUCGUACUGUGAAGCAUCCUGUUAAGUCAGGCAACGAGCGAGACCCACGCCAACAGUUGCCAGCAUGUCCUCCGGGAUGAUGGGGACACUGUUGGGACCGCCUCUGCUAAAGAGGAGGAAGGAAUGGGCAACGGUAGGUCAGCAUGCCCCGAAUUAUCCGGGCUACACGCGGGCUACAAUGGUCAGGACAAUGGGUAUCGACACCGAGAGGUGGAGGCAAUCUCCUAAACCUGUCCUUAGUUCGGAUUGUGGGCUGCAACUCGCCCACAUGAAGCUGGAAUCCGUAGUAAUCGCGUUUAAAAUAGCGCGGUGAAUAUGUCCCUGCUCCUU